UACCCCCGCCCGCUCGCCGACCUCGACGGGGCGGCUGCAGCUCCCCUGGGGAAAAGAGGGGCAGAUCGCUGCUUCCCGACCCCCUUCCUCCUCCUCCUCCUCCUCCUCUCUACCUCCUGGCUCGGCCGUGGGAAAUGGAAUGGGAGCGCGGAGGGCGAGGGGCUGCAAAAAGCUUCAGCUGCCCUCUGUCCUCCCGGGGAGCUGGAUACCUGGCUCCAUCUCUCCUCUCUCUUCCCUCCAGUGCCCUAGGGCUGGCAGGGGCAGCGCCGCACUCUCUCCUGCCACCGUGCGUGCGUGUUUGCAAGCGGCCGCCGCGCCUCCUGGCUCCUGCUGCUGCUGCUGCUUCCAGACCCACUUUCUCGCCCCCUCGCUCUGUGUCGGGAGAGACGGCUGCACCUUGUGUCCCGACUGCCACCACUGCUCCCCUGGGACAGAGCUGCACUGAAGUGACACAUCCCCUUCAGCAGGUCUGUGUGUCCCUGGUAGGACUCGGGCCACUGGGGUUUGACACUCCUCACCCUUAUUUCCCUUCCUCUUGCUUGCUGGCUGCCUCAGUGCCAUGGAGAGAAAAUUCUCUCUCAGAUGGGAGGCCCCCAAAUUUAAAAGUAACGUGGAUUUGAAAAUACGUGAAAAUCAGACUUGGAUUAUCACCUGCUGUCAGUAUCUUUGCAUCCAGUCUUAGGGAACCAGACCUCUUUCUGAGUGCUCAAGAUGCAGCUCAGUGUAACAAGAACAAAUACAGCUCAAAUCAGUUUGAAGCAUAAAUAAAGUCACCUAUCAAAAGAUGGGA